rnacentral:rRNA from 1 species
GACGAACGCUGGCGGCGUGCUUAACACAUGCAAGUCGAACGGAAAGGCCUCUUUCGGGGGGUACUCGAGUGGCGAACGGGUGAGUAACACGUGAGUAACCUGCCCUUGACUUUGGGAUAACUUCAGGAAACUGGGGCUAAUACCGGAUAGGAGCUCCUGCUGCAUGGUGGGGGUUGGAAAGUUUCGGCGGUUGGGGAUGGACUCGCGGCUUAUCAGCUUGUUGGUGGGGUAGUGGCUUACCAAGGCUUUGACGGGUAGCCGGCCUGAGAGGGUGACCGGCCACAUUGGGACUGAGAUACGGCCCAGACUCCUACGGGAGGCAGCAGUGGGGAAUUUUGCACAAUGGGUGGAAGCCUGAUGCAGCAACGCCGUGUGCGGGAUGACGGCCUUCGGGUUGUAAACCGCUUUCGCUCAUGACGAAGCUUUGUGUGACGGUAGUGGGUAAAGAAGCACCGGCUAACUACGUG